AGGGCAUGAUUGCUGCAAAAUGAAGCACAGUGGUCUUAAAGUCUUCAAUGUGAGAUUAUUGGUUUAUACUCCCAUAAAAAUGAGCAGCGAACCAAUAAACAACUGGAGUGAGCUCUCUGAUCGCUGACAGGAGUGGUUAGCGGCGGUGAUGCCCCUGGGCUGCCGGAGGGAAAAUUGUCCAAGAAUGAAAUGGAGGUAAUGAGACAAACAUGAUGGACGCCAGUGCCCGGUCAUCAGCUGAAGAGAUCAGAUGGCUACUGAAGCAUUGACAACCGCUGCUCAGGUGUGCCUUUUUCACAACCGGCUACCAAUUUUGACGGUAAAAAAACAGGCUUAAGGUACUUGUGGUGUUUGGGGUCCCAUGCUAAAUGCCCUCCUGCCUAAGCUCACUGGCCUGGCUGACGGUCCUCGUGGUAAAAUGAAAGAAAUGAAAGCUCAAUUGCCAGUAUAAGGUUGCUGAAAAAUGGCUGAUCCUGACCAGUUCAAUAGCUUCUCACCUGUAGCCUCAGUGGACAUAAUGCCUUGAGCCCAGAUGAUUCUGAACAGAACACUGAACUUCAUGUCUGUCCAUCUCUCUGUAAGACCACUGGACUUCCUCUAAGACAUUACACAGGGGGAGACACAACCAAUGAGUUGCGGUGGCGGUGUAAAAAUUUCCCAAAAUGCAAUGGUCCGAGAAAGGGAGUGUUGCCUCUCAGGUCUAGUGUUGACAGCCUGGGAUGACAUCACCAACAACUGCAAUGAGAUACCAGCAUAACAUAAAUAAUAUUUUUGUUGACAUUUGACAUAAAUCAGAUCAGAAGGACUGUACUGUAACUCAUGGCUAAGCUGAGAUAUCAUCACUGUCUCACUGACACUCUACAGUAUGAGCCUGACACGACAUCUGUCGCCCAUGAACCAACAGAGAUAGAUGAAGACAUACACUUCAGUAUAAAUGAGACCAAAUGUUUUGUAAUCCAGAUUUUUAUGGCAAUUACAUUGGAAUGGAAAAUUUAAACUUUCUAUUUAAUUUUAUUUUGGUUUAGUUUUCUUUCACCAUGAAGGUCCCAU